ACACAUUGAAUAUCGACACAACAUUUAGAGAAAACAUUCAGAUAGAAUGUCCCACACGAGACUUGUCAUUCAAAAAUGAACGGAUUAAUGGAUUUUUCAUUUUAAUUUUUGUUAUUUAUUUGAUAUUAUUUUUGUUAUUUUUUUGAUAUUUUUUGUUAUUUCCUAGUCUCUCAGGCAACACAGCCAGCUGAGCAACUGUAUUUCUUCGCAUAGCAUAGCCAGUUAACCUAGUUAGCUUAAAAGCUAAGCUGCAACAACACAUCUCUACAGUGGCUUUUGAUAACUGUCCAAGAUGAAGGUGUCUAAAAUACUAAUUUCACUUGUAUUUUUAACAAAUGUUUUCGUGAAUUUCAGAGCAAUGGAUCCUCUGAAAACAACCGACUCCAAAGACUCAGGUGACUCAAGGGUCCAAGAAUUGAAGAAGAGGUGGCAAGGAGAAAGACAGGAGUUUUUGAAAUUCCCUUGUUUCCUUAAAAAGGAUCCUGCAACUAAUGUAAAAGGAAAGCAAGCCAGUGAUCACAAAGAUGAAAUGCCCCUGACAUAUUCCACGCUCUUUGAAAACACCAUCUACAUCGAAACAUUCUUAUUUUGCCUUGUUGUAGUGUAUGGAAUACUACAUUUACCCAUUUGGGUCACUUUGUAUGAGAAACUGCACAGGGGUAAAGUUGAGCCACAGCCCACUGAUCACACGACUGAAGACUUGGAAAUGAACGAGACCCAUACUUAAAAUGUGAACUUCUCAACGCGAUCCAGUGUUGUUGUAUUCAUCGAGUUCGGAUGAAUUAUGAGAUUAAUUUAUUAUUCACAGCCACGGAGGCAUUUUCCAUUGGAAGAUUGGUUAUAUAAUAUUUCAAUUGUUAUUUAAUGUUGUAUUGAUUAAAAAUGGAAGCAACGUUUAUCUUUUGUAAUUGUCACAUGCACAGGGUGUU